UGUCAUCGACGGCUCACGACCAUACAUACACCUUUGAUGAGUACGGUGAGUAUGUUUUGCUUAAUUAAAACUUUGAAUUCAGAAGUAUAGCCUGAAAAUAUUUUAAUAUUCACACUAGAGCUUGUUUACCGUGUGUUAGAUAAAGGUAUCAUACAAUUUGAUAAACAAAUAAAUUGGAGAUUUGUUUUAGCUAAUAUUUCAUUACUAUAAGAAGUUUAUUUAAAUUGCGGUUGAAGGAUGAAAUCUGAUUUGUUUAUUUUAAUGUAACUUGAUUUCACCUGUUAAAAAUUGAUAGGUUGCAAAAACAAAGGAAGAUUUUCAAGAGGAAAGGAACCAGAGGACUCUACUCUACAGAGGACCAUGUUUUUCAUGAUCAUUCUUAUAUAUCUAUUGUUGAUUCAUGCCCAGACACAGAUGUUCCUGAGUAUGAGGAGGAGGAGGAGGACACAGAUGACUAUACAUGCAGUUCAUCAGAGAGUGACGAAGAAGAACCUGAGAGAAAUGGUGGAAAUGUCUUUCCCUUGCAAGGGCGGCACAUCAUAGACAUUAAUUUUUUAAUCCAAGAGCUGGGUAAAGGGUGCCAUUCUUGCAGAGAACCUUUACAGUUGUCCUCUUGCAUAGGAGAUACCCGAUAUAGACUAGGUAUUAUUAAAAUACAAGAAAACACUAAUAAGUCUAUGAUAACAUUGUAUAAAUAUAUAUUAUAAGUUGUAUCAUAUUGUUUUCAACACCACACAUGCUUGUAAGUAAUCAAAAUAAGUAAUAUUUUAAACUGAUAAAAUAU